GCCCCAACCCACCACCACCAGCUCCACUCCCCUCCGGUUUCCGCCGCCCGCCCAAGCCGCCUCCGGCAAGGACCUGGCCGGCGCCACCGCCCCUUCCCCGGCGGCCCGCCCACGGUCAGGCGCGCCCUGUCCUCCCUCCCCGCGCUCUGGCCGUGGCCCGCCGGUGUGCUCCUCCUCCCUUCGUCCGGGGCCCCGGGUCGUGCCUCCCGCCUCGCCUCGCCUCCUCGCGCCUGGUUUGGAUUCGCUCGUCCUCGAUUCGCCGCCCGUUUAGGUUUAGAACCGCGCAAGAUUUGGUUUCUGCUCGUGCUCAAUUCGUCCGUUUGGGGUUGCGCCUGGUUUGAUUUUGCUCGUCCUCGCCGUCGCCCGUUUGGGGUCUCGUCCGGUUCGAUUUUGCUUGUCGCCUUCGUCCGUUUAGAGUUGCCGUCCGGUUCGAUUUUGCUCGUCGCCGUCAUCCGUGUGGAAACGCGUACGCUUCGAUUUUGCUCGUCCUCGCCGUCGUCUGUGUGGAGUAGCGUCCGAUUCAAUUUUGCUCGUCUUCGUCGUCGUCCGUGUAGAGUCGCGUCCGGUUCGAUUUCGCUCGUCCUCGCCGUUGUCCCGAUGCGCUCGCGUGUUCUUGGUCCGUCUCGCCUCGUCGGGGGUCUCCAUCUCGUUUGCGAACUACCAAUUCUUUCUUUCUGCGUGCGAUUCUGUUAUCCGAGAGGCACUCCGGGUCCUGGGUUUCGUGUUCGCGUCGGUUGCAGGAACGAACGAGGUCUGGUUUCGAAAUUGGAUUAAGGCCGGAGACGGGGAGCGAUGUUCGUUUAUCGUGCUAGUUCAGACCGGUUCCUCGGUUACGUCACCUGCGUUGCUCUCUUGUGAUACUCUGUCAAUUCUUGGCCCUCUGUCAGUUCUUGUUGGCCCUCUGUCAAUUCUUGAGUUCUUGUUGUACCGGUUAGGCCUUUGCCGUGUGUGCUCUCAUCUUAGAUGGGGUGAUUCCUUAGUUCUGAUGGUGUAGACUGUUUAUGUUCUUUCCAAUUUGUUUCUUUUUUAUCAUGCUUUGCUUUGUUUUGCCUGCUGCUUAACUAAUUGAACACCUGCUGCUGCUACUGUUGGACAAAGGUUCCUUCUUUUCUUCCUGAUGUUGCUAUUUUACUCAUAGGAGUUCUAGAUGAGCUGCUGCUAGUUAGUUCCCCUUAGACUACAUUCUAGAUUGAAUAGCAUAACUCAAGAAUUUUGUCAUUGCACACAUGGGCAUAUAUAUAUUUCUGUUGUGAGCAUAACUCCAGAAUUUAUUUAUCCAUGAAAGCACGUUCAUCACAUUUAUGCGCAUGUUUUUUUUUUGUCCAAGAAUUCUGUCGUGUCCCUUUCCUUUGGACAAAAAUUUCAACAAACCUAUAACGUGGACAUGUGCUGCUUGUUUUCAUGUGAUGAUGGUGAUCUAGUUGACUAGCCCAACUCUUAUGCUUUGACAUUUGUUAAUCCCCAGUUAGUGUGCUUGAAAAAUUAUUGCUUGUCAUGUUAAAUUUUAUGGCAUCAACUCGGUAUUGUGAUUAGUGACCUAGUACUCCGUAUUUGUGUGUAGACAGCUAACUUUUUUUUUUCUUAUUUUUUUAGUGAUAUGCAUGUUCUGCUAUGUCUUAUGUUGAUAGUAUAUUCUUUUUUUUUAUUAUUCAUGUCCAGUCACUGGAGUAAUGCUUUUCUUGAUUUUCCUAGACUUUGUGACAAUUAAUUUAUAGUGCGAUCAUUGAGUUUCUGACAUCCUAUUGCAUAAAAUUCUGUUGUAAUGUUUGUUGGAUCAUUGAGUAGUUAAUAUUGAUUCUGAGCUUGUUGGAUCAUUGAACUUCUGCAUGCGCUUCUGUUAUCUGAGAGACACUCAUGAUCCCGCAUUUCGUGUUUGCGGCGGAGCGAUGAACGAUUACGUUUUGCGUUCCUGCGUUUUGUGUUCGCCGUCUGGUUUUGAAUUUGGAUUACGGAGACGGGGAGAGGCCAGAGUAAGGUCAGUUUCAGAUCGGUUCCGUCGCUGCGUUGAUCGUCGGCGAUUUCCAGACCUCAAACGCAUGCGCCCUUGUGAUACUCUAAUUUGGCUCGUGGUCGUUACGGUUGUUCUUACGUUCUUGAAUAACCCCAUCUUAUUCGCAGAGAUGGUGUGAUUCGUUAUGGUUCUUCUGAUGGCUGCUUAUGUUCUUUCGAAUUGAGUUCUUGUAAUGCUUUGCCUAUGUUCCCAAUGUCUGUCUUUCCAUAUAUGGGGAUGCGUUCAGACGUGCAAACCAUGUAGGCUGUGGUGUGUUUAUACUAUCUAUGGUGUGUUCUACACUAUCUGAUGUGGAACGUAGAAAUAUUGAUAUCACUUCUGUGCUAGUAUACUAGAUAUGGUGUGUUUCAUCCAAGUUAACCACAUCUCUUACAAAUUUUCCUUGGAGUGAUUGAUGUCUUGACGAAUAUAAUCAUUUAUGCUAACUUGGUAUUGGUAGUUCCUGAGGUAACACACCAGUACUUGUUUAGUGCAGACAAUUGACUGUUCUUUUUUCUGAACUUUUUUGUGAUAUGUGUGUUAUGUGGAUAUCAUAUUCUAAUGCUUUUCUAAGUAUUCAAGGUACAGACUUGUGGAUCUGGACAUGUCACAUUUGCUCUUUAUUGGGUUGCUAAGGACACUGAACAGUUUGGCUGGGCCACUGCACGACCUGGCUAAUCAGGAAGUGUUGCUAUGAAUCAAAUCUAUAAUGAAACAGACUGGGAGUAACAUCACAACUGACCAACUUAAAGAAUAUGUAUGGAAGACACUAAAGAGUGGAAAGUGAUUAGAGAGAAGCUUGCAGAACUGUGUGAAUCCGAACAACAAUGGUUGAGAGCAGCACAAAUGCUUAGUGGCAUUGACUUGGACUCAGGAAUCAGGAUGCUUGAUGACACAAACAAAUUAUCCAAGUGCGUCCAGAUUGAACGACGCUAUUUGGAGGAUGAUGAUGCAGUGAAUGCUGAAGCUUUUAUCAACAAAGCCUCGUUUUUGGUCACAAACAGCAACCAGGAAGUUCUGAAAUUAUAAUACAAGGUCUGCUAUGCGAGUAAAUUCUUGGAAGCUUCAAUUCGAUACUAUGGGUAUCUGAGCAACGCCAAAUUGGGGAUGAGUUGUUCCUGGCUAUGGUCAUGGAGUUCUACGUAAUACAGACCCAAGAUACUCGUGCCAAAGGGGGUUCACAUUGAAAUAUUUACCCGACCCAAGAUACUCGUGCCGAAGGGAGUUCACAUUGAAAUAUUUACCCGAGGACCCACUUUUCCAACUGGAAUGAAGAUCUGAAUCACCCUCACCCCUCUAGAGAAAUCAAUUUACUCAUUCAAGUUCUAGACUUUCUUUAUAGUUUUCUGGGUUUACUUCAGUUUUGCAUGUAUUAGUUUUCUCUUUGUGCCCCUAUCUAUCCUUGUUUCUUGUGUGCAAGCGCUCCAUUCUGUGUGUGUGACUCUGUGUGGCUUGACUUUGUGUGUGUGGCUUGAUUAUGUGUGUGGCUUGAUUGUGUGUGUGGCUUGACUGUGUGUAUGGGCUUGACUGUGUGUGUGAGAUUGUGUGUGGCUUGAUGGUGAAUAUGUGUGUGGCUUGACUAUGUGUGUUACUGUGUGUGAAUAUUGCAUUUGCUUGACGGUGUGGUUUGUAUAACUUGCGUUUUAUAUGUCAGGAUUGAUUGUUGUUUGUUGAAUUUGAACAGAUCUAACACUAUUUUUUUUUUUGAAUUUUUUUGUGAUUAUGUCUUAUGUGGAUACCACACUCUUUUUUGUAUUAUUGUUGUCCAGUCACUGGAAUAACGCUUUUCUAAGUAUUUAAGGUACAACCAUGUAGAUCUAGACAUGAUGCUGAUGGGUUGGGUUUGCAUACAAUGCAGUAUGGACCAACAAAAUGGUCUCAUUGCAAGGUGGACAUAUAGGCAAGAAAUGUCAAGAGAGAGAGAAGCUUGGACUAUUGAGAAGGAACAUGCAUUGAUUAAUGCCCAUCGGGUAUAUGGGAAUAGAUGGCCAGAAAUAGCAAAAGUUCUUCCUAGAAGGAAUCGGGUACUUCUAUUUGUUCUUAGGUUCUUCUCGCCUAGAGCUAAAGUCAAAGACGACAAAACCAAGUGGAUUAUUGGAGUUACAAGAUACACAAAAUCAUCGGUCAUCUAAAUCUUCUUUUCUAAUAUGACUGUUGGUGCUGCUCAUGAGUUCAGGCUAGCCACCGGCUUGGAAAUGAUGAGAGGCAAUCACUGUUGUCAACUUGAAACAUAAAUUUUUUUAGGAACGAAGAUCUGAAUCACCCUCCCGCCUCGAGAGAAAUCAGUUUAGUCAUCCAGGUACAGCCAUGUAGAUCUAGACAUGAUGCUGAUGGGUUGGGUUUGCAUACAAUGCAGUAUGGACCAACAAAAUGGUCUCAUUGCAAGGUGGACAUAUAGGCAAGAAAUGUCAAGAGAGAGAGAAGCUUGGACUAUUGAGGAGGAACAUGCACUGAUUAAUGCCCAUCGGGUAUAUGGGAAUAGAUGGGCAGAAAUAGCAAAAGUUCUUCCUAGAAGGAAUCGGGUACUUCUAUUUGUUCUUAGGUUCUUCUCACCUAUAGCUAAAGUCAAAGACGACAAAACCAAGUGGAUUAUUGGAGUUACAAGAUACACAAAAUCAUCAGUCAUCUAAAUCUUCUUUUCUAAUAUGACUGUUGGUGCUGCUCAUGAGGCUAGCCACCGGCUUGGAAAUGAUGAGAGGCAAUCACUGUUGUCAACUUGAAACGUAAUUUUUUUUAGGAACGAAGAUCUGAAUCACCCUCCCGCCUCGAGAGAAAUCAGUUUAGUCAUCCAGCCAUGUAGAUCUAGACAUGAUGCUGAUGGGUUGGGUUUGCAUACAAUGCAGUAUGGACCAACAAAAUGGUCUCAUUGUAAGGUGGACAUAUAGGCAAGAAAUGUCAAGAGAGAGAGAAGCUUGGACUAUUGAGGAGGAACAUGCACUGAUUAUUGCCCAUCGGGUAUAUGGGAAUAGAUGGGCAGAAAUAGCAAAAGUUCUUCCUAGAAGGAAUCGGGUACUUCUAUUUGUUCUUAGGUUCUUCUCACCUAUAGCUAAAGUCAAAGACGACAAAACCAAGUGGAUUAUUGGAGUUACAAGAUACACAAAAUCAUCGGUCAUCUAAAUCUUCUUUUCUAAUAUGACUGUUGGUGCUGCUCAUGAGGCUAGCCACCAGCUUGGAAGCGAUGAGAGGCAAUCACUGUUGUCAACUUGAAACGUAUAAUUUUUUAAGAACGAAGAUCUGAAUCACCCUCCCGCCUCGAGAGAAAUCAGUUUAGUCAUUCAGGUACAACCAUGCAUAUCUAGACAUGAUGCUGAUGGGUUGGGUUUGCAUACAAUGCAGUAUGGACCAACAAAAUGGUCUCAUUACAAGGUGGACAUAUAGGCAAGAAAUGUCAAGAGAGAGAGAAGCUUGGACUAUUGAGGAGGAACAUGCACUGAUUAAUGCCCAUCGGGUAUAUGGGAAUAGAUGGGCAGAAAUAGCAAAAGUUCUUCCUAGAAGGAAUCGGGUACUUCUAUUUGUUCUUAGGUUCGUCUCACCUAUACCUAAAGUCAAAGACGACAAAACCAAGUGGAUUAUUGGAGUUACAAGAUACACAAAAUCAUCGGUCAUCUAAAUCUUCUUUUCUAAUAUGACUGUUGGUGCUGCUCAUGAGUUCAAGCUAGCCACCGGCUUGGAAGCGAUGAGAGGCAAUCACUGUUGUCAACUUGAAACGUAUAAUUUUUUAGGAACGAAGAUCUGAAUCACCCUCCCGCCUCAAGAGAAAUCAGUUUAGUCAUUCAGAGAGAAGCUUGGACUAUUGAGGAGGAACAUGCACUGAUUAAUGCCCAUCGGGUAUAUGGGAACAGAUUGGCAGAAAUAGCAAAAGUUCUUCCUAGAAGGAAUCGGGUACUUCUAUUUGUUCUUAGGUUCUUCUCACCUAUAGCUAAAGUCAAAGACGACAAAACCAAGUGGAUUAUUGGAGUUACAAGAUACACAAAAUCAUCGGUCAUCUAAAUCUUCUUUUCUAAUAUGACUGUUGGUGCUGCUCAUGAGGCUAGCCACCGGCUUGGAAGCGAUGAGAGGAAAUCACUGUUGUCAACUUGAAACGUAUAAUUUUUUAGGAACGAAGAUCUGAAUCACCCUCCCGCCUCGAGAGAAAUCAGUUUAGUCAUUCAGGACCUUGUUGCUUGCAUUCUCGUGUCUUUUGGCAAGGAGAAAAUUAUCAUUUGGAGGGGAAAAGACAGCUGAAAACAUGCAAGAUAGUAUAUGCAGAAGACACACCCUUCAGUUAUUGAAUCAGAGUUUAGCGGUGAAGAACACUACAAUUUUUUGGUUGAUGGAUUGGUCUGAAUAGAUUGUAAGGGAUUUCCAUGAAGUGGUUAUUCAAAGAAUGGAACCAAUUUUAUGAUUUUGCUUGCUCGGCAAAGUGCAAAACAACGAAAAGCAUCACGUAUAGCUAUUUUGGAAUGCAAGAUUAGGAUGUGCUCCUCUUUGCUUCUCAUUUCCGCACUCUGGUUUUGACUUGCUAAUAUAUAGGCUUUCUAAAAUGGACGUGCAUAGAUCUGAGAAAGAAGAGAACAGGAAUCUAGCGGACGGAGGUCAUGUAGUAUUCACCAAUAGAUGAUAGAACCACAUAUUUUGGAAAUUCCUUGACAAAAAACACAAGAGCAUCAUUGUUUGGUCAAUUGCAGGUCAAUGUUGGCACUGGCCAGAUCAAGCAGGCAGUGGCGACACUAGACGAGGCGUCCUUGCACUGCAAGGCUGCCCUCGACAUAUGUGAAAAGUUUGGCGAGUUAAUCUUUUCCUCGAAUCAAACGGAAAUCUGAAAACUAUCAAAGAGAUACCAAAUGAUGAAUAUUUCAGAUGUCGACAGGCAUGGUUGACUAUGAUGUGCUCAUCGUUGACUCCACCACCGUUGGUUUUGAGGAUGGUACCUCAAGAAUGACCAGACCUGUGAGCACGCCGUCCUUGCAUUCAUUCUUGGAGUGAAGAAUAGUAUCUGCUGUUUAAUAAGAGCCUUCUGAUCUUCGUACUAUAAAGACUGGAUGUGAUAGCCAUUGUGCUUACUAUCAAAACUGUUACUUGAUGAGAACAUUUUAAGCUAAUUCAAGAUAUGUGCUUCCCCCUUGAUGAAUUAUUAUACAUACUUCAGCAGGAAAAACGUGUUUAAUCUACCAUGAACGUAAAUGGACAAUAGCAGGAUGUUAAAACUUCAUAUAUGUUGUUGCUCAAAGGAUAUAACUAUAACAUGAUGGUCUCAGUCUAUUUUUCAGAGUUCGAAACCUAUAUUAGUCAUCAUGAGAGUGAGAUUUGUAAAUUCCACCUUGAAUCAGUUAACACUUUCCCUUUGCUGUACAAUUUUUUUGUUCUUAUGAUGGUACCAUGCUUGCUAAUUAUAAGAGGUACAAAUAAACUAUUCUUUUGUUUGUCUAGAAAUAGUUUUUCUACUUUCUAUGCAUUGAAGAGAUAGCAAAUCCCUUGCUACAUGUACCAGGGCGAUGCCCAGGUUCACCAAAGGGUCUUUUCAUGCAUGAAAAAGAGAGUAUAUAUCAUCUACUCCCUCUGUUCACUUUUAUAAGACCGUUUAGACAUUUAAGACAACACCCAAAACAGUUCAAUCUCAUCUGUCUAAAACGUCUUAUAAAAGUGAACAGAGGGAGUAGCUAUUAUCAGGUUGUAGGUGUACACAUGGUUAUUGAGUACCAUGACAUAAUCAUCCAUAGUUUUGUGAAAUUUGAAUUCCCAUCUCUUUAUCGUAUUAUUCAUUUUGCACUCGGCUUUCAUAGAAGAUAAAGGUUUGUUUUGUUUUGUUCAUACGACCUGUUUUGGCUUUUGAGAUCAGUUGAAUGCUCUUGAUAUUUUGAAGUUUAUACUGCACUUCACAUAAAAAUAUCUGGGCAUAUGUUUCUUUAUUCAGCGAGGUGAACACCUAUACUCAGAUGCUUUUUCCACAGGCAUUCACCGUUUACUUGAUUACUGAUGGAAGGAUCUCCGUGCCAAUUGCUGUUGGGAACCAUUUGCCUCUACACCGAUGACCCUCAUGUUGUAUUAUACCAUGAGCUACCAUGACGUCCUCCACCGACCGCUAUUUGAACCUCAGCGCAUUCUUCUGUAAAAAUGACUCAUCAAGUCUUUUGCGCUUUCCUCUUGACUUUCUAAAUGCGGAUCAUAUUAUGUGUUAUUGCUUUCUUUAAGAUAUAUCACUGGCCAUGGAUUUCCUUUUAUCCGUCACCACCUUCAUACCUUUCUAUCCUGGAAUUUAUAUGGUGUACUGAGCUAUA